AAACCAACCGGGAUUGCCUCAGUAACGGCGAGUGAAGCGGCAAAAGCUCAAAUUUGAAAUCUGGCACUUUCAGUGUCCGAGUUGUAAUUUGUAGAAGUAGUUUUGGGACUGGUCCUUAUCUAUGUUUCUUGGAACAGGACGUCAUAGAGGGUGAGAACCCCGUAUGACGAGGCCCCCAGUCCUUUGUAAAACGCUUUCGAAGAGUCGAGUUGUUUGGGAAUGCAGCUCUAAGUGGGUGGUAAAUUCCAUCUAAAGCUAAAUAUUGGCGAGAGGCCGAUAGCGAACAAGUACAGUGAUGGAAAGAUGAAAAGAACUUUGAAAAGAGAGUGAAAAAGUACGUGAAAUUGUUGAAAGGGAAGGGCAUUUGAUCAGACAUGGUGUUUUUUAAAUGUGCAAGUCUCUCGUGGACAUGUGCCUCUGGAAAUUAACACUGGGCCAACAUCAGUUCUGGCGGCAGGAUAAAUCAUUAAGAAUGUAGCUACCUCGGUAGUGUUAUAGCUUUUUGGAAUACUGCC
rnacentral:rRNA from 1 species